AUGGUUAUUUCUUAACUGUAGUAAAACAAUGUUUAAUUUUCGCAAGGGAAGUCUAACGUUUCGUGUUAGAGAAUUAAAGUCUCAUUAAGAAGCUAACGUUAACCUAGUUUAAGUUCCCUGCUGAAAAAACCAGCAAGACCAGCAUAUGUUGUGUUUUGGUGCUGCUUUGCUAGUGAACACCAGCUAAACCAGCAUCAAACCAGCAUUAGCACCAGCAUCCCAUGCUGGUCACCAGCAUAUGUUGUGUUUUGGUGCUGGUAUGCUGGUGACCACCAGCUAAACCAGCAUAGACCAGCAUAAUUCCCAUGCUGGUUUGAUGCUGUUUUUUUCAGCAGGGUUAUCAACAUUAGGGUAACUUAAAGUGGUCAUUGCUUUAUUGUGUGAGCUUAAUAUAGUCUAAAGUUUUAAUAUUUGUCUUAUAAUAUUUGUAAGAAAAUAGGAAUCCCCACUAUUGGGGUACACUAUUUAAGCCUUAUAUUAGAGCUAAUUUACAUUACAUAAUAAACAUUUUCUGUUCUCCCUGCAGAUCCUGUCAAUCGAAUCACCUGUAACAACUUAGAUUUAUUUUAUAAACCCAAAGGCACUUUUAAGAGCCAUUGUUUACUACACAAAGCCAUAGUUCACUGACAAGCUGGGCCAUAUCGCAUACAUAUCGCAGGCGAUAAUUAAUGCGAAAUUGCCCCGGUUGUCAGGUAACUAUGGCUUUGUGUAGUAAAUGCUGCUCCAUCUCAAAGCAGGUGAUGUUGGUGUACUACUAAUCAAAAAACCGGAUUUACUGACGAGAUGCGCAUGACAAUCACGUGCGAUUUAUCGUGCAGCCCUACUUGACAAACUCCAUGCUACUGGAUACAAGCCAGUUCUGCUUCGUGAAAAGGAGACCAAGAAGCAAAAUAUUAAGUGUGAGAGAUUAUCGCCUAUGCCCAGGACUACCUUCAGAAGAUCGGUUCCUUUUAUGAAUACCUUUGUGAAGCAUCUGAUAGAGCUUUUGGACCCGGAAGCGGUGCUGUGUGAUGUCAGACAAACAAGCGGAUGGGAUUUGGUUGGACCCAGGAUUCCAGUGGCAUUAUGAUCAGCUGGUUACAGUGCACCUCACACCCUGUGACCCACUGGAGAAUGCAAACAACUGGAAGAGAUGACAAACAUGGUGGAGCAGGCGACCACUACAGAGGGACAGGUGGAGGCAGCGAACACUAUGGAAGGGCAGCUGGAGCAGGCGAGCACUACGAAGG